GAUGAACGCUGGCGGCGUGCCUAAUACAUGCAAGUCGAGCGAACAGACGAGGAGCUUGCUCCUCUGACGUUAGCGGCGGACGGGUGAGUAACACGUGGAUAACUUACCUAUAAGACUGGGAUAACUUCGGGAAACCGGAGCUAAUACCGGAUAACAUGUUGAACCGCAUGGUUCAACAGUGAAAGACGGUUUUGCUGUCACUUAUAGAUGGAUCCGCGUCGCAUUAGCUAGUUGGUAAGGUAACGGCUUACCAAGGCAACGAUGCGUAGCCGACCUGAGAGGGUGAUCGGCCACACUGGAACUGAGACACGGUCCAGACUCCUACGGGAGGCAGCAGUAGGGAAUCUUCCGCAAAGGGCGAAAGCCUGACGGAGCAACGCCGCGUGAGUGAAGAAGGUCUUCGGAUCGUAAAACUCUGUUAUUAGGGAAGAACAAAUGUGUAAGUAACUAUGCACGUCUUGACGGUACCUAAUCAGAAAGCCACGGCUAACUACGUG
rnacentral:rRNA from 1 species